rnacentral:misc_RNA from 1 species
CGAGUUCAUGGAGCAUGGUUCCUUGGCAGACAACCUCUCUUCCAACACACUCAACUGGCAGAAGAGGCUUGCAAUUGCCCUGGGAACUGCCAAGGGAUUAUCUUAUUUGCACGAAGAGUGCUUGGAGUGGAUUUUGCACUGUGAUAUAAAGCCACAGAAUAUCCUAUUGGAUGCUGAUUACGAGCCAAAGGUAGCAGAUUUUGGUCUGUCCAAG